AAAGAAAACCAAAGCACUGGCCUGGCUCACACAGCCAGGAAUCCAUCCCAGAGCUGGCUGACCCCGAACCUUUCUUCUUUUGAUGUUUUCUCUACAGAGACCUACUCUUCAUCAGCAGGCACUGAAGGCACAUUUCACACAUCAUCAUCUGUGUUUGUCUAGGAGAGCCUAGAAAGUCAGAGAUUUUUCUCGACAAAGCAGCCUGGGUUAUUUCAGAGGAGGAACCUGCUGCAUGGAGAAGCAGAAACUUGGGCCCAUCCUCCAAGGCUUCAGCAUUCCAGAGGCCAGAUGUGUGAGCCUGACGUCACCCACCAAGUCGUGGCCCCAUUCCAGGCUGCGCUCCGAUGGAUUGCGACCCCUGUUCCUCCAUGCUGUCUCCUCCUCCCUUUCCUUGGCGUGAAGGAGACUGAGUGGUGCUGGCAGCCACUCCCCAGCAUCUGGCGGAACAUUCUGCCCCAUAGUUGAGCUCUUUUCACUCCCUAGCUUCCCCUAGGGAUGGCUGGUGACUCAUAUUUCCAUUUUCAAUGUGGGGCCAGGAGCCUGAUCUUUCCAUGACCACCAGGACUGGCUAUAUAGCGUCGGAAUCAAGGACAUGAGCUAUGACAUCAGAUAGGCCUGAGUUCAAAUCCUUCUCGACUGCUUGUUGGCUGUGUGAUUUCGGUCAACUAACUCACCCUCUCUGAGCCUCUCUUUCCCCAUUUGGAAAUGCAGGCCACAAUGAUCCACUCUGAUGUCUUCCUUCUUGCAAAAGUCCCUUCCCUUUUGCCUGAAGCUCUGAAAAAUGAACCGUUCCCUCUAUCAGCUUUCUCUUUUAAAUAUUUACCUUUCACAAGCCGAGGAAAGAGGAAGCUGAUAUUAGAUUUUUUGAAAUAGAAUAGUAAUAUUUAUAUGCCAUUUACUGUGUGUAAAGGAUCUAUUAUCAGGUGUUAUUAUUCACCCCAUUUUAUAGGUGAGGAAACUGAGGCCCAGAGAAGUAAAGUAACUUGCCCGAACCAGUAAGUGGCAUGGCUGAAAUUCACACCUAGGCUGUCUGUCUUCAGAGCGCAUGCUCUUAAUCCCGAUAUAGAGAAAUGCAAACGAGAUGAAAUGGGGAAGGCCUUGGCACAGUGCUGGGCCCACAGUGAACUCCAAGUAAGUGUUUGCUGCUAGUACUAUUACUACUAUUACUUCAUCAGCAUGUCAGAGUCUCAUCCUUGCACGCGAGAAGAAGCAGGGCAGGGAUCCCUGCCCUUCUGGCCAAAUCCAGCAGUCAAGAUGCUCUUGAGUUAAAAAGGGCCAAUCGCUCACCCCAAAUGUGGGGGUCCCUUGCAUGCCAAUGGAAUGUUCUUGUCACGUGGCCUGCCAAGGGGGGAUGCUCUCCCUUGUCCUUAGGGUGGAAACAGGAGAGGCCCCAUAGAUGUCAGCAGAUUGUCAGGUGACCGUCCAGCCCAGGCAGCUUGGCUCCAAGAGGCCAGGUUUAACCACUGGGCUCUCUGCUUCCCCGAGAGACCACUCCUAUCAAAAGGUGAAGCUUGUGAUUUGGGCCCUAAAACCAAAAAGCCAAUGAGAUGCUGGUAACAGAAGCCCUACCAGAGACAAAGUAUCCCUUCGUGGUUACAUGUGAAAGGCUGGGCACAGGAGUAUCAGGAAAACACAAACACAAAGAAAGCAGGGCUAGCAAUAUGGAUGGCAGACAAGACAGAAUUUGAGGAGAAAAGCAUGAAAUUGAAGGAUAAGGGGACCUCUUUGUCUCCAUGUGCCACCUCCAACUGGCCUCUCAUUUUUAUUAUCCUUCCUAGACCUCUUCCACCUCAUCCAGUUCUUCUGUGGCCCCUUGGUGGCCAAGGCCCGCCCUCUUCAUGCCCCACGAGAGAUGAGCCAGCCUCCAGGUCUCCCACUGCUGCUUGGUUUCCUUUCUCAGGGGCCUUUGGGAGGUUGAGUUUUUUGUUUUUUUUUUUUUUUUUUGAGACGGAGUCUUGCUCUGUCACCCAGGCUGGAGUACAGUGGUGCCAUCUUGGCUCACCGCAACCUCCACCUCCCGGGUUCAAGCAAUUCUCCCGCCUCAGCCUCCCGAGUAGCUGGAC
rnacentral:lncRNA from 1 species